AACGAACGCUGGCGGCAUGCCUAACACAUGCAAGUCGAACGAGACCUUCGGGUCUAGUGGCGCACGGGUGCGUAACGCAUGGGAACCUGCCCUUAGGUUCGGAAUAACUCCCCGAAAGGGGUGCUAAUACCGGAUAAUGUCUUCGGACCAAAGAUUUAUCGCCUUUGGAUGGGCCCGCGUUGGAUUAGCUAGUUGGUAGGGUAAAAGCCUACCAAGGCGACGAUCCAUAGCUGGUCUGAGAGGAUGAUCAGCCACACUGGGACUGAGACACGGCCCAGACUCCUACGGGAGGCAGCAGUGGGGAAUAUUGGACAAGGGGCGAAAGCCUGAUCCAGCAAUGCCGCGUGAGUGAUGAAGGCCUUAGGGUUGUAAAGCUCUGUUACCCGGGAUGAUAAUGACAGUACCGGGAGAAUAAGCGCCGGCUAACUCCGUG
rnacentral:rRNA from 1 species